rnacentral:rRNA from 1 species
GAUGAACGCUAGCGGCAGGCUUAACACAUGCAAGUCGAGGGGUAACAGGGGAAAGCUUGCUUUUUUGCUGACGACCGGCGCACGGGUGAGUAACGCGUAUAGAACCUACCUUUUACAGGGGAAUAGCCCAGAGAAAUUUGGAUUAAUACCCUAUAGUAUUAUUGAGUGGCAUCAUUUAAUAAUUAAACAUUUAUGGGUAAAAGAUGGCUAUGCGUUCUAUUAGCUAGAUGGUAAGGUAACGGCUUACCAUGGCAACGAUAGAUAGGGGUCCUGAGAGGGAGAUCCCCCACACUGGUACUGAGACACGGACCAGACUCCUACGGGAGGCAGCAGUGAGGAAUAUUGGACAAUGGAGGCAACUCUGAUCCAGCCAUGCCGCGUGCAGGAAGACGGCCCUAUGGGUUGUAAACUGCUUUUAUACGGGAAGAAACCCAACUACGUGUAGUUGGCUGACGGUACCGUAAGAAUAAGCACCGGCUAACUCCGUGCCAGCAGCCGCGGUAAUACGGAGGGUGCAAGCGUUAUCCGGAAUCAUUGGGUUUAAAGGGUCCGUAGGCGGGCUAAUAAGUCAGGGGUGAAAUCCAACAGCUUAACUGUUGAACUGCCUUUGAUACUGUUAGUCUUGAAUUAUAUGGAAGUAGAUAGAAUGUGUAGUGUAGCGGUGAAAUGCUUAGAGAUUACACAGAAUACCGAUUGCGA